UGAGGUUGGUUGGGUGGUGGGUUGGUUGGUUGGUUGGUCGGUCGGUCGGUCGGUCGGUCGGUCGGUCAGUCAGGCAG
rnacentral:miRNA from 12 species